CAGCAAGGCUGACUGUAAAUCAUCCAGGCUCAAUUAGUGUAUUUCAAAGAAAUACCCAGGUGUUGUUUGACCUUCAAACAUAUGGACUGCUGGAAUAAAUGAAAGUCUCGCCUGUUCCCAUCAUGCUGAGGGAACUAGAUGGGGUAAUUCUUUUUCCUAGUCUCUGAGUUUUGUGGAGGGAUUAUUAGGUUUGGGCUCAGUGAGUUAUUUGCUUUAGCAAUAUGCUCAGUGGUGGGCUGCAGUUGCCUUUGCUGAGGGAAUUGCCAGGUGUGAGCUGUCACCAAGUACCACUAGAAUGCUGGAGGGGCGUGGGGAACCACUGGGCCAUGGAGGUGGGGCCUGAGCUCUGAGGCUUGAAGGGGACAGCCUGGGGUACAAUCGGAAGCAAUAAGAAAAUGGGAGCAGUGUUUCAUGAAAUACAAGUGAUCUCAUAGGAUUGUUAUAAGAACUUAUGAUAAAUGCUUCCCAUGGUGCCUGGCCCAGAGUUGGGCCCUGGCCAUUGGGCCUUCAACAUCACUCCUCCAUUGACUAGUUGCCAUCAGAUCAUCCCGUAAUGAGGAGAAAAGUAGGACAUACACCUUUAAGCCUGGAGCACCGGAGGCAGCAGACCAGAUGGAUGAGAACCGAAGGACCAUCUAUCAACCCUCCCUGCAACAUUUGGAGGUUUCCCCCUUCUUUUAAUUAGGAGCAGACUCUUCUAGAGGGUCACUCCCCUCACUCCCUCC